UACGUAGGUGACGAGCGUUAUCCGGAAUUAUUGGGCGUAAAGCGCCCGCAGGCGGCUGUUCAAGUCUGUCGUGAAAUCGCUCGGCUUAACUGGGCGGGGUCGUUGGAAACUGAAUAGCUUGAGGCAAGGAGAGGGGCGUGGAAUUCCCGGUGUAGUGGUGGAAUGCGUAGAUAUCGGGAGGAACAUCAGUGGCGAAAGCGGCGCCCUGGCCUUAGCCUGACGCUCAGGGGCGAAAGCGUGGAGAGCGAACGGG
rnacentral:rRNA from 1 species